UUCAGGCUUAUCGUAUAGGCGCAUGAGAGAUCAUUUUGCGGUGCUGUACCCUGAAAGACCUAUUCCAUCCGUGUCUAUAAUAAAAUGUGUUGCUGAGAAUUCCAAAAAGAGGAGAAUGCCAAUCCAGGUUUAAUGCUUGUUCAUCACUCAAGUCGAGGUUUACUAGAGGAAGUAAAACUUGCGAUUUGCAUAGUUCUUGCAUACUCAGUAAUUGAAAAACCCAGAAUUUAUUCCGCAUCAAUCGCGAAUAAAUUCCACGUCAAGAAAUCAUCCUUUUGGAAAAUAUUAAGAGAGGAGAAGUUCCUGUACAAAAAUCAAUGCCAUAAAGAACUUCUUCCAGAUGGUGAUGAUGAUAGAAGAAUGUUAUUUUGUGGGAAGAUAUUGGACUUGUACAAUGGUGAUAAUCUGCUCUAC
rnacentral:lncRNA from 1 species